AACGUAAGCAAAAUAUUGUGCUUCCAGAAUGGCUGCCACCGGAAUUGCUUGAGAGUGCAAAUGAAGUACAGUUGAGAUUUUUAGUAGGCGCUGAUCUGCUGGAAACGUUUGCCAAGCCGGAGUUGUGGACCACUGAGGAGAUUCAAAAUAUUGUGUGCAAUUAUGGCUUAGUGGUGCUUACACGCUUUGGUUCGGAUGUGGAUAGAUACAUUUUUGAAUCGGAUAUACUGUCGAAAUAUCGUGGCAACAUCGAGUUGGUCAUAAAUUGGACGACGAACAAUUUAAGUUCGACUUUGGUGCGUCGCUUAUUGAAACGUGGCCAAUCUGUGAAGUAUUUGAUUGAUGAUGAUGUAAUUGAGUAUAUCAGAAAACAUAAACUAUAUGACUGCAAAUCAUAAAUAUUUUAGAUUUUAUGUGCAUGAUAUCGUCCCCCUUACGUCAGAAGCAUGAAUGUGCAAAUUUUCAUAUUUCGACUUAAUGAAUGAGUUGACUUGAUUAACCUUUGGACGUUCAAUGUUACACCAAACCCCAGAAUACCAUGCGAACAAAAAACCGCAUAUGAUUUUUUAGCAGU